UACGGAGGGUGCAAGCGUUAUCCGGAUUCACUGGGUUUAAAGGGUGCGUAGGUGGGUUUGUAAGUCAGUGGUGAAAUCUCCGUGCUUAACAUGGAAACUGCCAUUGAUACUAUAGAUCUUGAAUUUUCUGGAGGAUAGCGGAAUAUGUCAUGUAGCGGUGAAAUGCUUAGAUAUGACACAGAACACCGAUUGCGAAGGCAGCUCACAAAAUUGUUAUUGACGCUGAUGCACGAAAGCGUGGGGAUCAAACAGGA
rnacentral:rRNA from 1 species